rnacentral:rRNA from 1 species
UACGAAGGGUGCAAGCGUUACUCGGAAUUACUGGGCGUAAAGCGUGCGUAGGCGGUUCGUUAAGUCUGAUGUGAAAGCCCUGGGCUCAACCUGGGAAUGGCAUUGGAAACUGGCGGCCUAGAGUGCGGUAGAGGGUAGUGGAAUUCCCGGUGUAGCAGUGAAAUGCGUAGAGAUCGGGAGGAACAUCCGUGGCGAAGGCGACUACCUGGACCAGCACUGACACUGAGGCACGAAAGCGUGGGGAGCAAACAGG